GCGGAUGUGGUGGAAUUGGUAGACACGCACGCUUGAGGGGCGUGUGGCUUGCCCGUGCGAGUUCGAGUCUCGCCAUCCGCA
rnacentral:tRNA from 1 species